UACGUAGGUGGCUAUUCAAGUUAGUGGUGAAAUUCCGGGGCUUAACUCCGGCGCUACCACUAAGACUGUUUAGCUUGAGUGCAGGAGGGGUAAGUGGAAUUCCUAGUGUAGCGGUGGAAUGCGUAGAUAUUAGGAAGAACACCGGUGGCGAAGGCGACUUACUGGACUGUAACUGACACUGAAGUACGAAAGCGUGGGGAGCAAACA
rnacentral:rRNA from 1 species